rnacentral:rRNA from 1 species
AUUGAACGCUGGCGGCAGGCUUAACACAUGCAAGUCGAGCGGUAACAGGGGGUGCUUGCACCCCGCUGACGAGCGGCGGACGGGUGAGUAAUGCUUAGGAAUCUGCCCCAGUAGUGGGGGAUAGCCCGGGGAAACCCGGGCUGGCGGCAGGCUUAACACAUGCAAGUCGAGCGGUAACAGGGGGUGCUUGCACCCCGCUGACGAGCGGCGGACGGGUGAGUAAUGCUUAGGAAUCUGCCCAGUAGUGGGGGAUAGCCCGGGGAAACCCGGAUUAAUACCGCAUACGUCCUACGGGAGAAAGCAGGGGAUCUUCGGACCUUGCGCUAUUGGAUGAGCCUAAGUCGGAUUAGCUAGUUGGUGGGGUAAAGGCCUACCAAGGCGACGAUCCGUAGCUGGUCUGAGAGGAUGAUCAGCCACAUCGGGACUGAGACACGGCCCGAACUCCUACGGGAGGCAGCAGUGGGGAAUAUUGGACAAUGGGGGCAACCCUGAUCCAGCCAUGCCGCGUGUGUGAAGAAGGCUUUCGGGUUGUAAAGCACUUUCAGCGAGGAGGAAGGCCUUAAAGUUAAUACCUUUGAGGAUUGACGUUACUCGCAGAAGAAGCACCGGCUAACUCCGUGCCAGCAGCCGCGGUAAUACGGAGGGUGCAAGCGUUAAUCGGAAUUACUGGGCGUAAAGCGCGCGUAGGUGGUUAGGUAAGCGAGAUGUGAAAGCCCCGGGCUUAACCUGGGAACGGCAUUUCGAACUGUCUGACUAGAGUGUGGUAGAGGGUAGUGGAAUUUCCUGUGUAGCGGUGAAAUGCGUAGAUAUAGGAAGGAACACCAGUGGCGAAGACGGCUACCUGGACCAACACUGACACUGAGGUGCGAAAGCGUGGGGAGCAAACA